rnacentral:tRNA from 1 species
GGUGGGGUUCCCGAGCGAUCAUAAGGGAGCUGACUACAAAUCUGCCGUCAUCGACUUCGAAGGUUCGAAUCCUUCUCCCACCACCA